UACGGGGGGGAGCAAGCGUUGUUCGGAUUUACUGGGCGUAAAGGGCGCGUAGGCGGCGUGACAAGUCACUUGUGAAAUCUCCGGGCUUAACUCGGAACGGUCAAGUGAUACUGUCGUGCUAGAGUACAGAAGGGGCAACUGGAAUUCUCGGUGUAGCGGUGAAAUGCGUAGAUAUCGAGAGGAACACCUGCGGCGAAGGCGGUUGCUGGGCUGAUACUGACGCUGAGGCGCGAAAGCUAGGGAGCGAACGGG
rnacentral:rRNA from 1 species